rnacentral:lncRNA from 1 species
GUGGGGGCCCCCCCUAGGUAAAAAUUUCUUGUCUAGUUUAACUGAGUCUAGUUCAUCCCCGGCGGUCGGAAAGAAAUGUCAAAUUCUUCAGGAUAUUUUGAGUUUCCAGUGCGGAGGUUGAGGAUUAGAUUGUCGACGUUCUGAGAUAAUUGUGCCCUGUGCCAAAAUCAAGACAUCCCGCAUCUUUUAUUUGACUCCUCCUUUCAAGGGGAUACAAAUCGCUCUUGAUGCAAUGCACACCCAUCUACGUCGGAUGUGACUACCCGGAAAAUUACAACCAAGGAACGGUUAAGGGGCAGCUGCAUCACUAAUAGUUCCUUAAGCCAGGAACACACUUAUCCGAUGCUACGCCAUGCGACGCUACCCGAUGCUAC